UUUUAAUACCUUAAGAAUUUCAAUAAAAAUUCAAUCAUCUUCAACAGUCUUCUUUCAUACCUUAUGAAUAACAUUUGAAUUUGAAUAUGCAUAAGAGGUAUUAUUAUCAAAUAUCUUCUUACUACCGCCUCAUUUAUCAAAAUAGUCGCUUACACUUACUCUACAAUACAACAAUAUAAGUUAGUAAACAACUUAUUUAAACUUAAAACGACCUCAACAUCUAUAACCAAGACAAACAAAAGUGUCUUCAAUUUAUAAAUUUUAUAUCAAAACAAAUAACAAACUAUCAUUCUUUAAAUAAAUGUAUUUGAAUAUGAUCGUAAUAUUGGUUCCGGAGGGAGUAACUACGAGAGGAUUACUACUCUUAUUAUGGUCUAUGAUUUUUAGAAUAAAUUAAUUGUUUGAUGAGAUA
rnacentral:lncRNA from 1 species